rnacentral:rRNA from 1 species
CAGUCGCCGCGGGAAAACGUAGGUGGCAAGCGUUGUCCGGAAUUAUUGGGCGUAAAGGGCUCGCAGGCGGUUUCUUAAGUCUGAUGUGAAAGCCCCCGGCUCAACCGGGGAGGGUCAUUGGAAACUGGGAAACUUGAGUGCAGAAGAGGAGAGUGGAAUUCCACGUGUAGCGGUGAAAUGCGUAGAGAUGUGGAGGAACACCAGUGGCGAAGGCGACUCUCUGGUCUGUAACUGACGCUGAGGCUUGAAAGCGUGGGGAGCAAACAGGAUUAGAUACCCCUGUAGUCCCUGUCUCUUAUAC